AAUCUUGCUAUAUUGGAGGUACUGUUCUAUGCUCCGCCCUGGCUCACUCGAGCGGCUGAAUCCGUCCCUGAAUGCCAUAUAAUUCACUUAAUUAUCAAGUGUUGCUAUCUAAACUAUUGUAUCAUUGGUAUUAAAUAGCGUGAUAUUACUUGUAUGCAUUGUACUUUCUAAAAAACAUGCACACAAAAAUUGGUGUAUUAGUGGAAAUGCAUACUUUUUUCAUUCUAACUUUUUUAUAUUACAUAUAACACACACAUACACAUACACAUACACAUAUUGAGGUUUUAGGAAAAUAUUGGCAAAUUUUGUGUUAAUGAUAACACGAUAGAACAAUACUGACAAAAAAAUAUAUAUUGAUACAUUAGUGGGAAUAUUCUUAUUUUUUUUAGUUCUAACUUUUUUACAUUACUUGUAUAUAUUGAAGUAUUAAGAAAACUUUAUGCCCUAUUUGGUGUCAAUAUCAAACAAGCAAAAAGUACUAAUAAAAAUUAGUAGAAAAUUUCUUACUUCUUAUCCAAGCUUUUGACAUUAGUUGUAUACAGAAUUGAUCUCCUGUUAUAAUUAAGGUUCUCUUGCCAUGUCAGCCGUAUGAAGUUUUUCUCCCAUUCAUUGAGGACAGGAAAUUAGAACUGUAAUGGUAUAUAUUGAAGUUUUAAGAAAACAUUUGCACCUUUUGUGUCAGUUCCAACUAGAAAGAAAAAAAUUUGGUGCAUUAAUGAAAAUACUCUUACUUAUUAUCCAGCUCUUUGAUAUUACUGUACACAUUGAAAAUUUAAGAAAAUAUAUGCACCUUUUGUGUAAAUACUAAACUAGACACAACAAUAUACGAAUGAAAAGAUGAAAAUUGAUGCAUUGGCAGAAAUAUUCUUACUUUUGAUUCAACCUUCAUAUAUUACUUGCAUACAUAUACUGAUAUACGAAAACAUUAGCUCAAAAUUAUCAUCUCAACCUCUAGAAAAUUAAUAGAAUUAAUUUUUUUGGACAUGAUAUGAAAAUUUUAAAUUUUGCGCAACAAUCUAGCUACUCCAUUGAAAGCGAAGGACCUAGGACAAUGACGAAAUCCGCUUUGCCUUUUUCGGAAAAUGAAAAAUAAAGGUAAAAGUGCCCAAGAAUCCUAUAACUUUUCGGAAAGUGCAAAUAGAUCCAAAAGGAAAAUAAUUAACAAAAAUAUCGAAAUAAAGAAUUUAGAAAAAAAAAAUAAAAGAAAUACAUCAUCAUUCCAAACCAACCCCGCUUCCAAAUUCAAUCCCAUCCACGGUCAAUCUUUACAUCUUUUCCAACCACCAUUGCCCUCGUCUCAUUCUUACCUAAUAGGAUCGCGCUAUUAAUAAGAAAAUUUUGAGAGAGCCUUGAUCUCCAUAGUUAGGUUUCGAAAAAAAUACACGGCAAAAACAAACAAAUUGUUAGCGAAAAAUUCCAAGCUAUCAUUUUCAUUGGUCAUUAAACUUUUUAUAGACAAAUGUAAUUAAACUAUAUAUACUAAUUAAUUUAUAUAGAGUAAAUAACCGUAAAUUCCCAAACUGUUAAAACCAUCCGUAUCCUCAAGGUAAAGUAUUGGGUGCGCAAGUGGCACAAAUGGAGAAGAAAAAUAGGAAUCCAGGUUUAAAUUUUUAGAGUAAGAAUAUCUAAUUCUUGAUUACCUUCAAAUAUCAUCAAAUGUGAGAGUUUUUUUGUAGAUAUAAGAAUAAACUUGAAUUAUCUUGGAUGGUUGACACGUGAUCUCAUCCUAACGGUUCAUACAUCUUGCACCAACAUGUCACAUCCUAGUCUUCAUAGGCCUAUGACUUCUCACAUGCUGUCUUGGGAAAAAAUAGGAGAUUUGACUCCCAAUCACCCUUGGAGAGAUGUUGCAUUCGUUACAUUGCAUGUGGCUCAAAGAGUCGAGUUACAGUUGUUCCAAGGCAUCGAGGUUGGGACCCUAAUCACCUCUUAGUACAGAGGCCCACCUAACAUGGCUAGUGUGGCUGGGUCUCUAUUGAUCGCCUGGAGAAGUGAUGAAUCUACACAGAGUUAUGUCACCUCAGAGGUUUUGUCCACGAAGCAUUGGGCAAAGCUAUCAACACCUUGAAAGAUAAUGGUCAACGGAGCAAUAGAAUGUGCCUUCGUCAUAUAGUAGGGGUGAAUGCUCUUGCUUGAGUGCCUUGAAAAUGCUCAUGUGGCAUACUGCUCAACAGACAGUUGCAUGGUUUGCCAUGGAGGCAGGGGCGUAACACUUAUGUACAUCUACUUUUUCACAUUUGGUUUUUGUUUAAUUUCUUGGAAAAUUUAAAGCUUGCUUUUUUUUUUUUUUUUUCCCUUGUUUUCUUUCUUAUUGUUCAAUAAGUGUUAGUUUUUCUUAAUUGUUUUCAAUUUGGACCCAUUUGCAAUUUUUUAAUUGUUUCGAGACACGUGC
rnacentral:lncRNA from 1 species